rnacentral:rRNA from 1 species
UAGAUAGUUGGUGGGGUAACGGCCUACCAAGUCGACGAUCAGUAGCCGGACUGAGAGGUUGAACGGCCACAUUGGGACUGAGAUACGGCCCAGACUCCUACGGGAGGCAGCAGUCGGGAAUAUUGCGCAAUGGAGGAAACUCUGACGCAGUGACGCCGCGUGCAGGAAGAAGGUUUUCGGAUUGUAAACUGCUUUAGACAGGGAAGAUACAAGACAGUACCUGUAGAAUAAGCUCCGGCUAACUACGUGCCAGCAGCCGCGGUAAUACGUAGGGAGCAAGCGUUAUCCGGAUUUAUUGGGUGUAAAGGGUGCGUAGACGGGAAAUUAAGUUAGUUGUGAAAUCCCUCGGCUUAACUGAGGAACUGCAACUAAAACUGGUUUUCUUGAGUGCUGGAGAGGAAAGUGGAAUUCCUAGUGUAGCGGUGAAAUGCGUAGAUAUUAGGAGGAACACCAGUGGCGAAGGCGACUUUCUGGACAGUAACUGACGUUGAGGCACGAAAGUGUGGGGAGCAAACAGGAUUAGAUACCCUGGUAGUCCACACCGUAAACGAUGGAUACUAGGUGUAGGAUGUGAUAAACAUUCUGUGCCGUCGCAAACGCAGUAA